rnacentral:lncRNA from 1 species
CUGUGCCGCCAGGAGUUUCACCGAGAAUCGAGCAGCUUCGCCCCUCCGCUUCGUUGCGUCGGAGCCACACGCCCCAUGCUGCCUGUCUCGUAGCGCCGCCGAUGCCUGGGAGCCAAUCAGCGCCAUCACCUCUUCCGGCCAAACACCUGCGUGCCCUGCCGCUCGUGGCCCCCUGCUGCUUCGUCACUAGGUAUGCUCGACGGAAACCAGACUGCCUCGUCCUUCUUCUCGGCGAGAUUCCGGCCGAGUCCGUCUGUCCCUACACCUAAUAAGGUAUAAAACGGAUUCCUCUCGUCAACCUCUCCGCUUUUCUCCACUUCUUGUGAUCUCUCGUGCACCGAGUCACCAGGAAAUUGAUCCAUAGUACCCGCCGGCCUCCAUAGGAGGUGUUCUCGAGAUUUCGCGGUUUAGCUUCUGCAAUCUAUAUUUUAUGACAAAUAGGUCCCUGCAGUUUGUUUCUUCCGUAGUUUCCACUUUUAGCUUCAUUUUAGUUCGUUCUUGUUGCGUAGGCUUUGUUUUAGCGUGAGCUAUCAUUUAGCAUGUUAUUUUAAUUCAUAGUUCAUGUUUUAUAAUUAAAUUUAGAAUUAAUUUGAAUAAUGAUUACUGAAACUAGCUUUUCUAACUAAAAGCAAAUUAGUGUUAUACUACGGUUUUUGUAAUUUAUGUUAAUUUGAUUAAACAUAAACUUGAAUAUGUUUCUAAAUAACUUGUUUAGCUCAAACAUGAAUCAUAAAGUUUCACGCUAGUUGUACUCACAUGACUUAAAUUAAAUCUGUGAUAUAAUUCAGUUGUUCAUUGUUCCAAGUUGAUUUAUUACUCAGUUAUCCCUUUAUUUUAUAAAUAUGGGCAAUAUUCAUUCAUGGCUUAGUAAAUAGGUUGCUAAUGUUCAACUAUUUAUUUAAAAUGCUUACUGCUUUAUUCAGCCAGCCUUUCUUCAUGUUUAAGCCUUGCAUGCCAUUUAUUUCCUAAUACACUUGCUGAGUAUCAAUCAUAAGUGUACGCACACUUGCUUAAACCGCUGUUCAGAAGAGAAAGUUGAUGUGAAGUUUUCUGAAGAUGUUGCUGAGUUCCAUGUGUACGCAACCUCCGGUCGUUUGCACGUGAGGUAUGGAGUCUUCGUUUGCAGGAUAAGCUGUAUAUCUCUGAUAGAGUUUUAAUUUUGUAAGUGUCUUAUCCAUGAUAUUGUUGCUCGUUAUUCUAUUAUGACGUCGCUAUAUGUAUAGAACUUGAUCCUGAUAUAUAUUUAUGCAUUCGGUUUUAUUUUAAAACCAGGUGUGAUGGUCGGAUGCUACAGUAGCUCCGUUCUUCUCGUAGUUGUAGUUGCAAGAGCGGGUUACGUUCUGGGCCGCUUCUAGAAAAAAAACGUGGUACAAAUGUUUUUUAUAGUGCAUUAAAGAGAACCUGCCGUUCUUUUCACAUGCCAGCUAGCAGCGUAUCUGAGAAUCCGAUCCAUCCAGUCAAAUCACAAC